UACAGAGGGUGCGAGCGUUAAUCGGAAUUACUGGGCGUAAAGCGUGCGCAGAUGGUUACGUAAGUCGGGUGUGAAAGCCCCGGGCUCAACCUGGGAAUUGCAUUCGAGACUGCGUAGCUAGGGUGCGGAAGAGGGAAGCGGAAUUUCCGGUGUAGCGGUGAAAUGCGUAGAGAUCGGCAGGAACACCCAGGGGGAAACCAGUCGACUGGGCAGCACCUGACGCUGAGGUGCGAGAGCGUGGGGAGCGAACCGG
rnacentral:rRNA from 1 species